AUUGCAUUAACCCUGUAAUUAAGAGGCAGACCACCCAGCAGCUGCUGCGAGGGGCUUCUCCAGCACACGGAGCUGAGCCAAGCUCUGAGGUGGCUCCCAGGGACACAGACAGUCACCCUCCUAUCAUCCAGGCACUGCCCUUCCCCCUCCUUUGCCAUUUUUCAGCAAUCCUCACAAAGCUGCCAGCAUGCAGGAGAUGUGCUGAGUGCUCAGAGCGGGGAUGUGCUGAGCGCGGCGCUUUGUCUGGGCACUGGGGCUCCCUGGGUGCUCACUCGCAGCAUUGUGAGCAAACAAUUUAUCUGAUGGAUUCCACAUUUCCCAUUUGCAAGCACAGAUUUCUUUAAAUGAGAUUAUUUGUUGUCAGAAUUGCCAUUUCCUGCCACCCUGCCUGGACUCAACUCUUUACCACAGCUGCAAGGAGAAGCUAUCGGGUCACGUGUGUCCAUCUGGGUCUCCACGGGACAAAUGAGUGCUUCUGAAAGGUGGGGACAACACCUCCAGCAAUGCUGGCAUGUUGGGAAGGCAGUGAGGGGCAGUGCACACUGGCAUGGAGAUGUGCUCCCCAGCCCCAGAGUCAACGGGGGCUCACAUGCUUGCAGGAAGCCCAGGAGCUGAGGCUGAGCAGCUGCUAUUCAGGGGCGCAUCCAGAGAAAAGAGCAUGUGAGGGCUGCAGAUGGGCCAGAGCUGCAGUCUCCAGGAGGAAUCGUGAGUGCAGAGCUGAGGAAGGAGCCCUGAGCCCAGUGAAUAGAGGCAGAAAGGAAAGCAGCCCCAGGAGCUUGCUGCUGUCCAUUGGGUCUGCUGCAAGUCAGUAGAGAAGGACGCAUCCCCAUCUGGCUGGGCAGCAAUGGCUCUGAACAGCCCAAAUCAUGGACCAGGAAAGUGAAUAUAAAACAAGGAAAAAAUCCCCAAAGGAACCCAGCUGUGACAGCAGUGAUGACCGCUGCAGAGGCUGCUGCUGGGUGUCAGUUGGGGUGAAGUCACAUCCUUCAACAGCUACUACUUAACAGGGUCCUGUCCUCAGCAUCACCCCUCCUCCGCUCAGCUGGGAGGGCACAGCCCCACAGGCAGGAGGGACCCUGGGAAAAUCCUGGUGACAGCACUGACACCGCAGCUCCCAGGGGGAACGAUGGAGCUGCUGGGUUCUUCCAAGCACAAGUGCCAGCAUGGAUAAACCCAGCUGACAGAGCCAGGCCCAAGCAGAGUAUGCUUCCUGUGCCUGUCUGAACUGA
rnacentral:lncRNA from 1 species